GUGGCAGGAAAACCAGAGGAGGAGGUGCAGCUCAUCCACAGAACAAACUCCUCAACACCAACCAGCCCUACAGGGCUGACGCCCCCUGCUGUGUCUGCAGAGGGGGGAGCCCCCAGGCCUGAGCGUGAAGUCUCAGACGAAGGAAGGAACGUCUUAGCAGUGAACCCAGAGUCAGGCACAGACCCCCCCACCAUGAAGCUGUGAGUGACCCCGACACACAACAGGAAGAUGGGACAUUAUACUGACCUACGACAAACGGCUCCAAUUUGGCAACGUCUAAAUCAUCACAAAAGGAGAGGAUACGGUUUGUUUUUAGCAGCAGCAGUAACAGCAGCAGUAACAGUAACAGUAGUAACAGUAACAGCAGCAAGAAAGUUUCUCUGUUUAACUUUGUCUCCUUCCAAACAAACCUGAGGAACAUAAGAAGUUCUGUGUUUUAGGAACCAGUUGGAUUUAAGGCGUAUGCACACGGCAGUGCGGCUCAAUGAGGUCAUCACAGAGAACUCCAAGGAGGCCAAACUGGUGCUGCUCAAUAUGCCCGGGCCACCAAAGAACCGACUGGGCAAUGAGAACUAUAUGGAGUUCCUGGAGGUGCUGACUGAAGGCCUGAAUCGGGUCCUUCUGGUACGAGGAGGAGGGCCGUGAAGUCAUCACAUCUAUUCCUGGAGAGCAUUUAAAGAUUUUUUUGUUUGUUUGUUUUUUCUGUCUCCUAGUUCAGUCUCUAAGAAUACACACAACACAGUCUAUGUCCUGGGCUGUGGGAACUGAAAACUGCAGAUAAGACUAGGUUUGUUAAUAACUUGUACAAUAUAGAAACAAAGUGUCUCAUUUGUAAGAAAAAAGCACCUUUCCUUUUUAUUCUUAUUCUUUCAUUUAUGUGUUGAUUCAUCUAUUUCUGUUUGUCUGUAUUCUGUCAACUUCUAUUAUUGACCUGGAUUAGAAUUGUUGAGGAUUUGUAUCAUCUGAAACUAAACCUUCACCUAUACCGUCUAAAACAUAACAGUUAUAUUAUAAGGUGAUUAUAAAGUGCAUGUAACCUUUAAUCUAUAUAAAAAUAAUAUUUUGAAAAGUAAAUCUAAUAAAGUGCAUUGAUUCAGAU